rnacentral:lncRNA from 1 species
AGUGGGGUUGUUAGGAAGAUAAACUGAGUUAAUGUACCAGAGGUGCAGAGACCAGUGUGCCACUCUGGAUCUGCCAUCACCAGCGUCUCCUUCAUCACCCUGCUGGGAGCAGCUUCGGAGCGAAAUCAGCGCCUGUCUUAAGAUCUGUGGUUUGGCUGUGGUUCUCCGGAACUCACUUGGGAUUGGCUCGAGGCUAAAUCCUCCUGCUACAUCCCCACGGUGAGGAGCCCGACCUUGUGGGAGAGAAGGAAAUCCCAGGCAAUCCCAGCCUCAUCAUGAAAGAACUGACUUGUUCUGCUCCAGAUCCACUGGUCACAUGAAGAAUUUCUCCAAACCUCUUAAACCUAGCAGUCUACAUUUUCUGCAUUUUCCAGGUAAGAGAAUCUACAUGUUAUCAACAGUGGUUGCUGUGGUUUCCCAAGGAAUAGAAUGGCAUCUGCUCACCAGAGUUCACGUGAUGACUGAGCAGUGUACAUUCUGCAGCAUGUAGGCAUUGGAUCGGAGCGACAGGUCCCAGGAUGCUCUACGUUGGACACGCUGCGACAUCUGCCAGGUCCGUGGUCCUGCUCUUUGACACGGGACAGAAAAUCCAACUCAACCGAUCUGGAGCUGAAGAUGAGAUGGAUCCUACUCAAGACACAGGGAUAAGAGGGAUCUAUUUUCAAAGGAAACAAGACAGUCUUAGCAAAAGAAGAGAAAUGGAGGCGACUUUUUGGCAAAUACUGCAUCUUCAGCCAGGAGAAGUUGGCUGAGGACAAAAGGGCUUUUGAAGCGGUGUGGAAUUGCUGCAUUCUGUGGUAUGGAGAACCCUCCAUACUGUUCUCUACAGUAGGCUGCACCAACUCACAUUCCCACGAACAAGAUCUUAGUGCAGAGCAUACAGCACAAAGUAUGGAAUCCACUGCAUCCCUCUUCUCACACCCCUUGAAUCUGGGUUGGCCCUGAGACUUAGAUGGGCCGAUACAAUGCUGAGGAAGCAAUGGUGUGCCAGUGCUAAACCUAGGCAUCAAGUGGCUCUGAAUACUUCAGCCCCUAUGCGAGCAAGCAAGCCUAGGCUGGCCUACCGCAGAGUGGAAGAUCACAUGCAAGGGAGACAAACCAUCCUGACUGAGGCCAUCCUGGACCAGCCAGCUCCUGCCUUACUAGCCAGCUGACCACAGACAUAAGGCCACUCUCCCCAAUGUCUGGUCACAUCCACGCAGAGAGAUGCAGCUCAGAAAUGAGAGGGGACCAGCAGCUGUGUGAGUCAACCGAACUGCAGAGUCUUCCGCCUGUGCCACCAAAAGCAAUCAGGCUGUGAAACUUUCCAGAGCGUUCCAUCUACCUCACACACUGUGCAAAUCGAGGGCUUCAGGAUACAUAGGUGAAAAUCACUUCCUCAUCAAAAUAUUUGCGGGCACUUUGAAAAGAUCACCGCCUCACAUGUGGAGUUUACUUCUGUGGGUGAAGGUGCACAGAGUCAACGUUAAGCACAUGACCUUGCUCCUUUUUAAGAUUAACAAAAGAAUGUGCAAAAGGAACUUAAGAUUCUUUCCAUCUAGUAUUAGCUGCCUGGAUCUUCAAAGUACCUCCAAGGGCACGUUCCGCCAAAAAGCAGAUGGUGGAAAAGCCCUCGUGUUCUUCCUGCUCUGUUGUCCAGUGACUGAGCCGUGUGCCUGACAGGUGUCCGAAUCUGAUUUUGUGUCACUCAGUGCAACCCUGCAUUAGCUGUGGCUGCCAAAGAAAUGACCUCAACAUUUAGCACCCGAAGGCAGCAGUGAACAUUUUCGGUCUCGGGGUCUGUAGGCCAGGAGCUCAGGAGCAGCUGAGGUGAGUGGUUUUGGCUCAGGGUCUCUCAGGAGAUGGUGCUCGAGAUGUCAGCCAAGAUUGCAGUCACCUGAAGGCUUGCCAAGCGCUAGAUUUGUUUGGAGGACUAUUUAUUUACCCAGCCAUCAAGUCCAUCCUUCAUGGGCUCACCACGUGCAUCUCUGCACUGAGCUGCUUGAAUGUCCUUAUACGUGACGACUGAUCCCCACAAUGCAAGUGAUCUAAGAGAGAACAAGGGGGAAGCCAUCAUAUGACCUGGUCUCGUUGUCAGUCAGGCUCCGUCACUUCGGUAAUGUCUUGUUGGUUGCAUAGGUCAACCCUAUUCAACGUAGGAGAGGACUACUCAGGGUAGGAAUACAGGAGGAGCGAAUCAGCAGGGGCCAUCUGAGAGUGGCUGCCACAGACUCCACAGCAGAGCUCCGGACUCAGGUACUGCUCUGGGUGGAAAAAGGCGUCGUUCCCACUCAACUCAUGGGGUAGAUGUAAGUCUAUGCUGAAUCAGAGACCUCAGGAGCAAAAUCACAGGCUAUCUCACCAUUUUUCUGUUAAUGUGUGUCUGUCUCAUCCAGGGAAUAUAAAGACCUCUGUUUCUCAUUUAGUCAUUUAUUAAUCCUUUCAUGUAACAAAAAUUUACCGAGGAUCUACUACCUGUCGGGCACUGUGAUAAGUAUUCGGUAACAGCAAUAAAAAGCACAUCUAGAAUGUACCCUCCAGGAUUCCACUGCCACCUUUCACAGAAGGGUACCAGUGAAGUACCGUUUCCUCUUGGAAAGUUCUCCUAACAUUCUAGGUUUGUGGCUCUUUAUUUUGUCCUUAGGGAAAACCUGACUUGUUCGAGGGUCUUACCCCAAUUGCCAUGCUCUCUAAGGAUCAAAGAACGACCAGACCCAGGAAAAUGUUAGGCAGAUAAGAUACAUUUCCCAACCAGUGCAGGGAAGAACAUUUUGGAAAAGGUCACCUGAACAAGCACAGAUCUACAAAAGGUGCAGUAUUUACAACUGUUACCGUAGAGAUGAUACCUGGUCUCCAGUUUUCAGGAUCCAGCUCAUAACAGUACCUUGGGUAUUGAAGUGCAUGUUUUACGCUAUCGAGUUCCCUGGUGGCCUACC